AAUUCCCAAGCAUCAUCCGCUGUAUACUCUCCAAUUGAAUCUCGUCGCAGAGCUGUCAAGUGAGCACAACUGCCAAGAGCUUUCCCGAAGUCUGCACAAAGUGAUCGGACAUAGGUACCUUUUGAGCAUCUUACUCGGAAAAUCACAUUCUGUCUGUCAUCUAAACUCCGCUUCACGUCAAAUUCGAAAAUUGAAAUCCUUCUUGGUGCAAGUUCGAUGCUUUCUCCUCUUCUUGCUUUAUCAUACAUCUUUUCACCACCAACUUUGAUUGCUGAGAACAUCGGAGGGACUUGCCAUAUCUCUCCAAAAAAGGAUGCUGCCGUUUUCUUUAUGUCCUCAUCCUUGAUAUGCUCCCAUGGCUCUCGUUGAAUAACCGGGGAAUCUGCAUCCCAGGUAGAGGUGGCUUCUCCCAAACGGAAGAUCCCACUGUAGCCCUUAGUCAUACCCUGAUAGCUGUCAACGAUCUUUGUAGA
rnacentral:misc_RNA from 1 species